rnacentral:tRNA from 1 species
GGAAGAAUGGCUGAGUGGCUUAAAGCGGUGGUUUGCUAAAUCAUUAUAUAAUGUUAUAUCAUAGGUUCGAAUCCUAUUUCUCCCA